rnacentral:lncRNA from 1 species
CACCGGCCGCCAUCUCCUCAGGCAGCGCCGGCCCAACCGCCGCCGCGCGCCCGCCCCGCCCCCGCGCGGGCACCGCCUCAGGGGCCUGUGGUGGCGGCGGCGGCGGUGAGGUCUGUCCCGGUCCCCUCAGCCCCGGAUCCCCCAUCCCCGUUAUCCCCGUCCCCGGCGGGGAGGCUGUGCGUUCCUUCUCUUUUCCUGAAAUGGAAUUGCUUGACUAAGAUCUACAGCAGCCUGAGGGUCUGUGCUGUAAAGCCCCCUUCUGCUAGUGUCUACGGAGAAGAUGUAGUUGUCCUCUUGGCUGUGAGUCGGAUAAAGGAAUAAGGGCUGGAGACCAGGUACAUAUUUGAAAAUGGAGGUUAUGAGAUUUUCUAGCUGUUGAAACUGAAGGGUCUUUUGGGGUCUAGACGUUCAGGUAGGGUGAUGAUGGGGCAAAAGGCAUAUGGGCAGAAAUCAUGUGAGGACUGUCGCUAGCGUGGAUAGACAAGUUAAGAAUUUCUAGAUUGCAG